UACCCUUAUCUACUAUCUAGAGUAACCACAGCCUAAAAAGUGGGUGUAACAGAAUUAGUGGGAAAAAUAGACCGUGAUGAACUUGACUUUAGUUCAACUUUAUGGGGAAAUAUGAUAGAAGUAGAAUAGGUGAGAGCUUGGUGCUUCGGUGUUUGGUGUCGAUGAAAUACCACUACAGUCAUCGCUUCUUUGCUUAUUCAUAGAUACGGAAACGAAAUUGUAUUUUGAUGCUAAUGCAUCAUCGUAAUACCAGGUAGGUCAUAGUGCAGAUUAUGGUACUUGUGUUUUGAUGUGAUGAUGUACGACCUCUUCUGAAGACCAUGUCCGACAGAGAGUUUGACUGCGGCAGUAUUUUCAUCAAAUGGUAACGCAGGUGUUUUUUAUGGUGAGUUCACAUGAGACGGAAACCUGACAUUAGAGUAAAAGAGCAAAAUCGUACUUGGUUUUAAUUUUUAGUUAAGAAUGCAAAUCAUGAGAGCGUCACUUAUCGAUCCUUUUAAAUGUUCCUUGUGCUGACCAAGCGUUCAUUAUAACGUCAUUGUUUAAUCUUCCGAUGUCGACUCUUCUUGUCAUAUUGAAGUAUAAUUCAUUAAGCUUUGGAUUGUUUGCUCACU
rnacentral:ncRNA from 1 species